UAUUCACGACUCUCUCGAAAUUAGUUUAGGUUUAGGGUUAAGUUUUAUUUUCCUUCAAUUCCUCUUUUCGAACACCACACAUGUUCUCUGAAAACGGAGCUAGUCCUAAAGGCGCAAAUCGAAACGCGAUCGUUUUUCUCCUUGGGGCGAGGGUUCUUCUUUUGUUCCUCCGAAAACAGCCAUCACAUAACUCCCUCAAUUAAGGGUUUAUUUGUUUAUUUUUAUGUUUGUUUUGGAAUUUCUCGGCGAUGAUAUACCUUAUCCGCGCUUCUGAGUUUUCUCGAUGAAGCACAAUUGGUUAAAAUAUGGUUGAAUUUCUUGAUAUGAGCCAUGUUUUGUGAAAUAAAAUGUUUAGUUUUAAUUGUUUUCAAUUUUCACAUUGUGUGCUUUGCUUUUCCAGUUGUUACAGGUGUCGUUGGUAUGCUUAUUUCACAGUUUUGAUUGAUUUGCAGGUGUCUAUUCCAUCUUUCGGGGAGAAAAGUUCGCAAUUGCAUAGCUUUCCCCUUGCUUCGUUAGCUGAUGAAUGUGAAAAAUUCUAUGAAUUGGAAAGUAGCAAGGCCUUCGAUGAUUAUGCGGGAAACUACUUUGUGCUUGCAACAGUGUUUCCUUCUAGCAUGGGUCACACUUGGCAGAGCACAACUUAAUUUUGGUGAGCCUGAUAAUGCUAUUGAAAGCUUUGACCGUGCUUUAGCUCUCAAGGUGUUCAUUCAGUUAUUUCUUUGAUUCUUGCUUUCAUUUUGGACCGUGCUGCUCAUCAUCACAGAUGGAUCGAAGUUGGAUGAAUGAAAGUCGCAUCAGCCCAGAAUAUGAGGAAGGCGUCGAGCAAUUCUUACAAUUUGCUUCACAAAGAGGUCAACCGGAUGAAGAUGGAAAAUAUUAUUGUCCUUGCAUCAAUUGUGAAUAGUAACAUAUUCGUUAACAUCGGUUUGUUAUUAUAAUCUUAGGAUCUUUCAGGAAUAAUUGGGAGACGUAUUUUAAUGAAGUUAGACCAUUGGAAGCAGAGAGAUUUAAGGCACUUCGCAUACAGUGGGCACAAUAUUAUCUAAAAGUUAGAAAUCAAACAUAGGAUGUUAGGCAACUAUGUAACUUUAGGUUAAUAAAUUAGUUUACGUACUUUGCAUUAUAUUUUUUACAAUUGUUGUUUCAUCUUAACAUUGAACAACCUUUGUUGAUAGCUAGUUUUUUGCUAAAAUCUAUUUGAAAACUGAAUGCAAAUGAUAUAUGUUGUGUGC